ACUAGCAUUGAUAUUAUCAAGUUAAGCUGAGAUCACAUAAGUGGCUCCUGCCAAUUCCUCACGUGGUGUCCCACCUGAUUGCUGCAUAUCCUCAGAUGAUUCGAGAUUAGUAUGACUGUGUGUUUUCAGCCACUUUCUGCUAGCUUGGAGCAAAUGCAUGGACAUUCUCCUUUGGAGACAGGCUAUGGAUGGAGUCAAAGAACUUAAGAUGAAGGGGUCUACCAGGAAGAUUACUAACUAACGCCGAUCAGGCGAUUCCCGAUUGACUGGUUUAAGAUUGCAUUUUUGAAGGAGUUGAAACUUUUUCAAGCUUGUGUGGAGAUCAUUAAUGAAGCAAUAAGCUAAGGAAAUCCUGGCCUAGUGAAGAGAGAACCUGUGAUUUCAACAAGGACAAUACUUUUGAUUAAGUCAUGGAAACUGUGGCUUCAAGAAGUAAAAUAUCUCGUCCAAUGUCUCACAGGAAGUCAGGUGGCACAAUUGUGUGCCCACCUCAGAUCUGAGUGACUUGACUUUCUAACCAGGCUAUGAGCAGAGGUCAAC
ensembl:lncRNA